GAUGAACGCUGGCGGCGUGCUUAACACAUGCAAGUCGAGCGGUAAGGCCCUUUCGGGGGUACGACGAGCGGCGAACGGGUGAGUAACACGUGGGUGACCUGCCCUUAGCUCUGGGAUAAGCCUGGGAAACUGGGUCUAAUACCGGAUAUGACUCCAUGACGCAUGUUGUGGGGUGGAAAGCCUUGUGCGGCUAGGGAUGGGCCCGCGGCCUAUCAGCUUGUCGGUGGGGUGANGGCCUACCAAGGCGACGACGGGUAGCCGGCCUGAGAGGGCGACC
rnacentral:rRNA from 1 species